GCGGGGGUAGCCAAGUGGCCAAAGGCGCAAGUUGAGAUCUUGUCCCUUAGUGGGUUCGCAGGUUCAAAUCCUGCCCCCCGCA
rnacentral:tRNA from 1 species